UACAACGUUCUCACUGCAGUAUUCUCUGAUUGUUGAUUGGCUGAAAACCUGGCACCUGAUACGCCAGUUGCGUGUGAAGUUCAGAGAGAGUUAGGAGCAUAGGUUCGGAGUCGGAGUCGGCACGUGUGAAAGUUUGGAAGACAGUCAAGUAGUUGGGAGGGCCAGAGAGCCAUUGAACUCCACAUUUUGGACAACACUCAUCUGGAGAACAGUAGGAUGUAAAAAAGAGGGAAAGCAAAGGGCCCCUGAUUCUGGGACAUGAUGUAAACUGGACUCAAAUAUGCAUCCUUGUUUUUCAACAGAGUGUAGGACACAUUGCAAAGACAACCUUGUUCUGUUAGCGACUGAAGAGAGUCUAAGGAGUCACGGAGGAUUCUGUUCAAGUUGGAACAUAACCAGUGGUUCAAGACAGCAGAAUAGUCCAAAAGAGGGCAGCAUGCUUCAGUUGAAGAUUGUGUUUCAGGACCAAAGGCUUUGUUCAGGAUGCUGUAUUUCAUUAACUUUGUACUGUACUUAUUUUAAGUCUCCAUUAAAC